rnacentral:tRNA from 1 species
GGCCCCAUCGUCUAGUGGUUAGGACAUAGCCCUUUCACGGCUGUAACAGCGGUUCAAAUCCGCUUGGGGUCA